AGCGUACACGGUGGAUGCCCUGGCAGUCAGAGGCGAUGAAGGGCGUGCUAAUCUGCGAUAAGCGCCGGUAAGGUGAUAUGAACCGUUAUAACCGGCGAUACCCGAAUGGGGAAACCCAGUGUGAUUCGUCACACUAUCAUUAACUGAAUCCAUAGGUUAAUGAGGCGAACCGGGGGAACUGAAACAUCUAAGUACCCCGAGGAAAAGAAAUCAACCGAGAUUCCCCCAGUAGCGGCGAGCGAACGGGGAGGAGCCCAGAGCCUGAAUCAGCAUGUGUGUUAGUGGAAGCGUCUGGAAAGGCGCGCGAUACAGGGUGACAGCCCCGUACACAAAAGCGCAUGUGCUGUGAGCUCGAUGAGUAGGGCGGGACACGUGGUAUCCUGUCUGAAUAUGGGGGGACCAUCCUCCAAGGCUAAAUACUCCUGACUGACCGAUAGUGAACCAGUACCGUGAGGGAAAGGCGAAAAGAACCCCGGCGAGGGGAGUGAAAAAGAACCUGAAACCGUGUACGUACAAGCAGUGGGAGCACAGGUUUACCUGUGUGACUGCGUACCUUUUGUAUAAUGGGUCAGCGACUUAUAUUCUGUAGCAAGGUUAACCGAAUAGGGGAGCCGGAGGGAAACCGAGUCUUAAUUGGGCGUUAAGUUGCAGGGUAUAGACCCGAAACCCGGUGAUCUAGCCAUGGGCAGGUUGAAGGUUGGGUAACACUAACUGGAGGACCGAACCGACUAAUGUUGAAAAAUUAGCGGAUGACCUGUGGCUGGGGGUGAAAGGCCAAUCAAACCGGGAGAUAGCUGGUUCUCCCCGAAAGCUAUUUAGGUAGCGCCUCGUGAAUUCAUCUCCGGGGGUAGAGCACUGUUUCGGCUAGGGGGCCAUCCCGGCUUACCAACCCGAUGCAAACUGCGAAUACCGGAGAAUGUUAUCACGGGAGACACACGGCGGGUGCUAACGUCCGUCGUGAAGAGGGAAACAACCCAGACCGCCAGCUAAGGUCCCAAAGUCAUGGUUAAGUGGGAAACGAUGUGGGAAGGCCCAGACAGCCAGGAUGUUGGCUUAGAAGCAGCCAUCAUUUAAAGAAAGCGUAAUAGCUCACUGGUCGAGUCGGCCUGCGCGGAAGAUGUAACGGGGCUAAACCAUGCACCGAAGCUGCGGCAGCGACACUGUGUGUUGUUGGGUAGGGGAGCGUUCUGUAAGCCUGUGAAGGUGUGUCGUGAGGCAUGCUGGAGGUAUCAGAAGUGCGAAUGCUGACAUAAGUAACGAUAAAGCGGGUGAAAAGCCCGCUCGCCGGAAGACCAAGGGUUCCUGUCCAACGUUAAUCGGGGCAGGGUGAGUCGACCCCUAAGGCGAGGCCGAAAGGCGUAGUCGAUGGGAAACGGGUUAAUAUUCCCGUACUUGGUGUUACUGCGAAGGGGGGACGGAGAAGGCUAUGUUGGCCGGGCGACGGUUGUCCCGGUUUAAGCGUGUAGGUGUGUGUUCCAGGUAAAUCCGGUUCACUUUAACACUGAGGCGUGACGACGAGGCACUACGGUGCUGAAGCAACAAAUGCCCUGCUUCCAGGAAAAGCCUCUAAGCAUCAGGUAACAUCAAAUCGUACCCCAAACCGACACAGGUGGUCAGGUAGAGAAUACCAAGGCGCUUGAGAGAACUCGGGUGAAGGAACUAGGCAAAAUGGUGCCGUAACUUCGGGAGAAGGCACGCUGACACGUAGGUGAAGUGAUUUACUCAUGGAGCUGAAGUCAGUCGAAGAUACCAGCUGGCUGCAACUGUUUAUUAAAAACACAGCACUGUGCAAACACGAAAGUGGACGUAUACGGUGUGACGCCUGCCCGGUGCCGGAAGGUUAAUUGAUGGGGUCAGCGCAAGCGAAGCUCCUGAUCGAAGCCCCGGUAAACGGCGGCCGUAACUAUAACGGUCCUAAGGUAGCGAAAUUCCUUGUCGGGUAAGUUCCGACCUGCACGAAUGGCGUAAUGAUGGCCAGGCUGUCUCCACCCGAGACUCAGUGAAAUUGAACUCGCUGUGAAGAUGCAGUGUACCCGCGGCAAGACGGAAAGACCCCGUGAACCUUUACUAUAGCUUGACACUGAACAUUGAGCCUUGAUGUGUAGGAUAGGUGGGAGGCUUUGAAGUGUGGACGCCAGUCUGCAUGGAGCCGACCUUGAAAUACCACCCUUUAAUGUUUGAUGUUCUAACGUGGACCCGUUACCCGGGUUGCGGACAGUGUCUGGUGGGUAGUUUGACUGGGGCGGUCUCCUCCUAAAGAGUAACGGAGGAGCACGAAGGUUGGCUAAUCCUGGUCGGACAUCAGGAGGUUAGUGCAAUGGCAUAAGCCAGCUUGACUGCGAGCGUGACGGCGCGAGCAGGUGCGAAAGCAGGUCAUAGUGAUCCGGUGGUUCUGAAUGGAAGGGCCAUCGCUCAACGGAUAAAAGGUACUCCGGGGAUAACAGGCUGAUACCGCCCAAGAGUUCAUAUCGACGGCGGUGUUUGGCACCUCGAUGUCGGCUCAUCACAUCCUGGGGCUGAAGUAGGUCCCAAGGGUAUGGCUGUUCGCCAUUUAAAGUGGUACGCGAGCUGGGUUUAGAACGUCGUGAGACAGUUCGGUCCCUAUCUGCCGUGGGCGCUGGAGAACUGAGGGGGGCUGCUCCUAGUACGAGAGGACCGGAGUGGACGCAUCACUGGUGUUCGGGUUGUCAUGCCAAUGGCACUGCCCGGUAGCUAAAUGCGGAAGAGAUAAGUGCUGAAAGCAUCUAAGCACGAAACUUGCCCCGAGAUGAGUUCU
rnacentral:rRNA from 1 species